rnacentral:rRNA from 1 species
UACAGAGGUCUCAAGCGUUGUUCGGAUUCAUUGGGCGUAAAGGGUGCGUAGGUGGCGGGGUAAGUCAGGUGUGAAAUCUCGGAGCUUAACUCCGAAACUGCAUUCGAUACUGCCGUGCUUGAGGACUGGAGAGGAGACUGGAAUUUACGGUGUAGCGGUGAAAUGCGUAGAUAUCGUAAGGAAGACCAGUGGCGAAGGCGGGUCUCUGGACAGUUCCUGACGCUGAGGCACGAAGGCCAGGGGAGCAAACGGG